GUAGUCUCGCACAGAUGCAUAUCAAUAAGCGGAGGAAAAGAAACUAACUAGGAUUCCCCUAGUAACGGCGAGUGAAGCGGGAAGAGCUCAAAUUUGAAAUCUUAAAGGGUUUCCCUUUACGAAUUGUAGUUUAAAGAAGUGUUUUCUGUUGAGGUUUUGGUAAAAGUUCUUUGGAAUAGGACAUCAUAGAGGGUGAGAAUCCCGUAUUUGACCUUUACUUUCAACUUUGUGAUACACUUUCAAAGAGUCGGAUUGUUUGGGAAUGCAGUCCAAAAUGGGUGGUAAAUUUCAUCUAAAGCUAAAUACUGGCGAGAGACCGAUAGCGAACAAGUACCGUGAGGGAAAGAUGAAAAGAACUUUGAAAAGAGAGUUAAACAGUACGUGAAAUUGUCAAAAGGGAAGCGUUUGACACCAGUGUUGUUUUUCUCGAAAAUCAAUUAAAAGGAAGGUUUAUUUUUGAGUAGUUAUGACUUCAUCAGCUUGCUCCUUUCUUUAUGUACUUGUCUUAAUGCACUUUUCGUUAACAAGUCAACAUCAAUUUCUUUUGUUGUAGAAGAGUAUGAGGAAGGUGGCUUUCUUUUCGGAGAAAGUGUUUAUAGCCUUGUACUUCUGCAAUCGGAGAGAUUGAGGUCUGCAGCGUAGAUCCUUCGGGGUUAGAUACACUUGUGCUAAGUUAUAGCCUUUCAUAGACAACUUGUUGAUUAUGAUUAGUACCCUUGUAGCUUACUCGCUUGUGCUAUUUUACCUACGCUUAGGAUGUUGACGCGCGUGUGUGCGUG
rnacentral:rRNA from 1 species